rnacentral:lncRNA from 1 species
CCCCAGAUGCUGCACACCUGGGUCCGCAGAGAACACUUUGAGCUGAUGGAGUGAAUAUUUCCAGGACAGAGGAGAAGCUAUCUUCUCUAGACUGGAUAAACAAGGCAGGAAGAAUGCAGAGAAGAGAUGAGGCAAUUUGUACAAAGGACAGCAACUGUAUCCAUGUCCCAGAAGGAAAUCUAUACAACCUUGAAAAGAAGAAAAAAACAAGAAAGGAAAGAAAGUGCCAAAUCAUGCAGUUUCUGCCCUUACCAGAAGCGUGAACCUUUUAAUUGCCGUUCCCUGAGUGGAAAAAGAUUUCUCUUCAUCUGCUAGCUUUUCUCUAGUGAUUUUUUUUUUCCUCUUCUUUUUUUGGAGGAAAUUGCUUGUAGCUUCUCCCCUUCCCUUCUGACCAAUUACUUAGCUGGGCAUGCUGUAAAAUAAAGUUUACAUUAAAUCGUCUCCAUGGCAACCUCACACACCAGAUCUCUAGUUUUAAAGCAAUCAUAUCCCUUUUCCCAUUCAAGCUUGCCAAAAAGUAACUUUUCUUGAAAGUACACAGACAGAACCUAAUAAGGUUUGUAAAGAGAGAUAAAUUGGUUGCACAAGAUAGGGGUCCCUUGAUGGAGAACAUGAGAUGAAUUCCUGAAAAAAUAUCUCCUGUAAACCAUGGUUAUUUACAGU